rnacentral:lncRNA from 1 species
AUAUAUUGUUAAGCAGUAACAUUUUUUGGACUSUUUAGACCUUUGACCAUAUUUGCUCAGAUGAUACAGCCUUAACUGUAAGCCCACUUGAAAGACAUUUUAACGGGACACUUUAGAUGAAAUCAGUUGGUGCUUUUGUAAUGGCAGCUGAACGCGCGUCCUUGCCAUUUUCCCRUUUAACAAGAAUAAAAGGCCAAGCAAGGACCAAUUAGUCAUAAUGAAAUCAGCUUUGAUGACAUUUUCACUCCUGAACUYUGGUAUAAAAUGGUCAUGCAAGAAAGGACUGAAGGGACACGUGGAGAGUCUGUGCAGGUUGAACCUUGUUUUCAUUCUCUGGAUCUCAACAACAUUCAUGUGCUCGAGUUACCCAGUUGUCCCUUCCGUGAGCAGUAAUCCUUUUUAUGUGAGUUGCCAGCUGUACGGGAAACCCGAUUACUGUCUCGUCCUGCUGAAGAGCUGCUUAGCCAAGGUGGACAGGAGCGAGGAACGGGCUUUUUUGAGGCCUUACCUGGAGCUGCCUUUCAAUAAAAGGUCCUUUCGCAACGGCGUUGGAUCAGGAAUUAAAAAAACUUCCUUUUGAAGAGCAAAGUCAUAAAUAAGUGUUCG